AACAGGUACAGCCAGAGCUACAUCUUCCUGGGUUGCACAGAUCCCAGGAUACCUGUUUUACUAUCAGCCAAGCCCAUGAAGGGUAUGUCAGCAUCAGCUUGGUGUGGAUAGUGCCACUUCACCUUUCUCCUACUUGGCUCCAAGGAGAUGCUUCCAGGGAAAGACCAUGUUUGUAGAUUUAUUGGCUGUGGGAGGAAUGAUCG
rnacentral:lncRNA from 1 species